rnacentral:rRNA from 1 species
UUUUAAAUUUAGAGUUUGAUCCUGGCUCAGGACGAACGCUGGCGGCGUGCUUAACACAUGCAAGUCGAGCGAUGAAGCUUCCUUCGGGAAGUGGAUUAGCGGCGGACGGGUGAGUAACACGUGGGUAACCUACCUCAAAGUGGGGGAUAGCCUUCCGAAAGGAAGAUUAAUACCGCAUAAUAUGAGAGAAUCGCAUGAUUUUCUUAUCAAAGAUUUAUUGCUUUGAGAUGGACCCGCGGCGCAUUAGCUAGUUGGUAAGGUAACGGCUUACCAAGGCAACGAUGCGUAGCCGACCUGAGAGGGUGAUCGGCCACAUUGGAACUGAGACACGGUCCAGACUCCUACGGGAGGCAGCAGUGGGGAAUAUUGCGCAAUGGGGGAAACCCUGACGCAGCAACGCCGCGUGGGUGAUGAAGGUCUUCGGAUUGUAAAGCCCUGUUUUCUAGGACGAUAAUGACGGUACUAGAGGAGGAAGCCACGGCUAACUACGUGCCAGCAGCCGCGGUAAUACGUAGGUGGCGAGCGUUGUCCGGAUUUACUGGGCGUAAAGGGUGCGUAGGCGGAUGUUUAAGUGGGAUGUGAAAUCCCCGGGCUUAACCUGGGGGCUGCAUUCCAAACUGGAUAUCUAGAGUGCAGGAGAGGAAAGCGGAAUUCCUAGUGUAGCGGUGAAAUGCGUAGAGAUUAGGAAGAACACCAGUGGCGAAGGCGGCUUUCUGGACUGUAACUGACGCUGAGGCACGAAAGCGUGGGUAGCAAACAGGAUUAGAUACCCUGGUAGUCCACGCCGUAAACGAUGGAUACUAGGUGUAGGGGGUAUCAACUCCCCCUGUGCCGCAGUUAACACAAUAAGUAUCCCGCCUGGGGAGUACGGUCGCAAGAUUAAAACUCAAAGGAAUUGACGGGGGCCCGCACAAGCAGCGGAGCAUGUGGUUUAAUUCGAAGCAACGCGAAGAACCUUACCUGGACUUGACAUCCCUUGCAUAGCCUAGAGAUAGGUGAAGCCCUUCGGGGCAAGGAGACAGGUGGUGCAUGGUUGUCGUCAGCUCGUGUCGUGAGAUGUUAGGUUAAGUCCUGCAACGAGCGCAACCCUUGUUAUUAGUUGCUACCAUUAAGUUGAGCACUCUAAUGAGACUGCCUGGGUAACCAGGAGGAAGGUGGGGAUGACGUCAAAUCAUCAUGCCCCUUAUGUCCAGGGCUACACACGUGCUACAAUGGUAGGUACAAUAAGACGCAAGACCGUGAGGUGGAGCAAAACUUAUAAAACCUAUCUCAGUUCGGAUUGUAGGCUGCAACUCGCCUACAUGAAGCUGGAGUUGCUAGUAAUCGCGAAUCAGAAUGUCGCGGUGAAUACGUUCCCGGGCCUUGUACACACCGCCCGUCACACCAUGAGAGCUGGUAACACCCGAAGUCCGUGAGGUAACCGUAAGGAGCCAGCGGCCGAAGGUGGGAUUAGUGAUUGGGGUGAAGUCGUAACAAGGUAGCCGUAGGAGAACCUGCGGCUGGAUCACCUCCUUUCUA